rnacentral:rRNA from 1 species
UACGUAGGGUGCAAGCGUUAAUCGGAAUUACUGGGCGUAAAGCGUGCGCAGGCGGUCUUGCAAGACAGAUGUGAAAUCCCCGGGCUACAACCUGGGAACUGCAUUUGUGACUGCAAGGCUGGAGUGCGGCAGAGGGGGGUGGAAUUCCCGGUGUAGCGGUGAAAUGCGCAGAUAUCAGGAAGAACACCCGUGGCGAAGGCGGUUCUCUGGGACGGUACUGACGCUGAGACGCGAAAGCGUGGGGAGCGAACAGG